CACCUGGGCCUUCACUUUGUGUCAAGGCGGUUGCUAAGCACGCCCCGACGGUUGCUAGGCAACCGGUCUUUGGCAAAAGCCAAUGGGAAGCCGACCUGCUUGUUUGGUUCGGGGAGGCCGGCUUGGUAACGGAGGCAACGGGAGAAAGGACACGACGACGGGAGGGGAAUCUGCAGCUGGGGGAUAAGGCCCGCGCCUGUAAAGCCGAUACAAGACAACCAUGUCUGUUUUGGAAGAAGGCCAGCAUCGAGGCACUUACCUACAUAUCUGCAAUUUUAUUAAUACUAAUGUCCGUCUCUCCCCUCCCCCCCCCCAGGGCCUAAGUUCGUUGCGGGUGGGUGUCUCCCCAGCGGUUAGUACAGUGCUCUGCAUACAGUAAGCGCUCACUAAAUACUACCAGCUGCCGUCUGGGACUUUGGCAGCAAGAGCUAACACCGAGAGUCCAGAAAGCGUCGAGGCGGAGAAGAGGAGGGGAAGUAUCAUGAUCAUCAUCAUCGAUGUUAUUAGUGAAAGUUACACUUCAAACUGAAGCAAAGCGACACUAAAACCAACAAAAUUUUUAAAAAGGGUAAAAACAAAUACAACAUAGAAUCCUUCCAGUAUCCAGAAUGGCAGAAAAGAGGAGUGGAUCUGUCCCAGGAAACAUUGGUGACAGUUUUGGCUCAGAAAGAGUUACAUGACAAAUUCUCAACAGAAAGUAUUUUAAGUGACUAAUUUAACAACAAAAUCAACCUCCCCAGACAUUCUACUUUUAAUCUCAACCACAGGUCCUUUGUGACAUUUACAUACACCACCAUCAUCCAACUGAAAGAUACAACCUUUACCAAAUUCUAAUGACCCUUGAACACAUAUGCGGGCUUCAUUUCAGAAUCGACUUUUUUUGCUCAUCCGUGCUCGGUCUGAGCCUCCAAGAGAUUAAACCGGCACUCACGCGUGACCCGAAAUCCACACCUGAAGGGUCAAGACUCGUGCAUCGAGGGAUGGUUUCCAUUGACUGCCAAGUGUUCGGCCUGUGCUGUGAACCCAGCGAUGAUUUGGGUACAACUUCAUUCCGGGAUCCAAUUACCUGGCAACAUACUAUCUUUCACUUGACAGCUUGGAAAUAUUUCUGGAGAGUUCCCAUUUCCUCCAGCAGAGGAUUGGCAGUCCUCUUAGAGAUCGCCUCCUAUCCUGUGGCACAACGUCGACCGCAAUCUCUCUUCAACCCGUCACCUUUAUUUUGGAGCCAUUCAACCAGGCAAACAUGAAAAAAAGAGGCUUCAAAAAUGAGGGCUUCAAAAAUCACAAAAAUAUCUAAACAGUGAUGCUGAUAACAUCCCCAACUGGAGGCUCUUCAUUCAAAGCAAACACAGAAAUCCGGUGACUAGACAAAGAAGAUGAGGACAAACAAGGAAGAAAGCUUCCAACCCAUCGUUUUCCUGAGCUGAAAGCUUAAAACUUGGUUACUGGUAGAAAAUUUUGGCAAGAACAGUUUGCUGAAAAGGACAAUGGAGAAAGAGACUACUCUGCUUCUGUUUAGUAUUUCAGUUUUAAAACAUACUGAUAUCAACCCCCAAAAAUAGUAGUUCACAUCCGCAAUACAAAUAGGCACACACGGUCAAGAUGGUUAAAAAGUAAAAGUUAAAAGGCU